UGGUGGUUGCACCAAAAGAGAAGGACGAACUUGGAGUCCUCAGAGGAGCUCCAGUCUCACAGUGUCUCACAGCUUCAUCUCUUCUGGUGUCUCCUGAAUCCCAGGCAACCUGCAGCCAUGAAGACCCCCUGCCUUCUCUUUGCCCUGGUCCUCUUGGUUCUCCAUGUCCGGGCCAUGUCCAAUCCGGUGGGUGAGAAGCAACCCCAGAAGGAAGCGGACACCUGGGAUGGGGUGGAGGAUGAUGCUUCGGAAACAAAAGGCGAUGUGGAAGCUGAAGGUGCUGGUGGGCAAAACAACCCCAUGAUAUGUUCCUAUUCAGGCGGUUCAUGCCGUCCAAGAUGCACUGGCCAUGAAGUGAUGGUUGGCAAGUGUUACGGCACCUUCAUUUGCUGUGUACGCAUGUAAAGGGCCUGCUGAAGGGGAGCGGAGAUGUCCAAAUGGGACCUUCGGUGCAUGCGCUGCUCUGGAUAGACCCACAUCAACUGUUCUCACCUCCUUAGUUCCCUGAUUACAACCUAACCUGGCAGUGA